rnacentral:misc_RNA from 1 species
GGAAGUAAAAGUCGUAACUAGGUCUCCGUUGGUGAACCAGCGGAGGGAUCAUUACUGGAAUCGCAAGAUCCCACAACCCUGUGAACCUACCGAAACGUUGCCUCGGCGGGUGCCCGGCCUCUGCGCCGGGCGCUGCGCCCGCCGGCGGCCCCCUACUCUGUCUCUGCAGCGUGGCAUCUCAGAGUCCCAGAAAACAAGUCAAAACUUUCAACAACGGAUCUCUUGGCUCUA